GUCUGAGAUGGAGGCUUCUCUCUGGUUUAGAGAGUGCUGCUCAGUUUCUAAAGGUCACUGUUGCCUCAGAUGAGUUCUGAUAAGUGCUAUUCCGUGAGCUCCAGAGUUCAAAAUGGAAACCUCAAACAAACCUUAAGCACUGCUGAUGUACUGUGCAGAGAGGACAGAGCAUUGGCUGAUGUCCACAGGCUCCUCACUGCAUCUACAACAGUUAUUCCCACCUAGGACUGCAGCCAUGGGCCAUCAUCAGAGAUCCGGGAGCAGCUCCCAGAGUUGUGGUGACGAGUGGACAAGAACUUCUGGGGAGGAUAUUUUACCUGCAUCCGCAUCGGUGCCUGACAAGGAUGAGAGAAGGGACUGAGAAACACAGCAUGCAGGAUACAGAGAGAGGGGUGCCCAGUCAUCGUGGGGACAGCUGCCUUUAGAAAGGGAAGCUUGGCCUUUUGCUGCUGCAGCAUGACAAACCACUGCACACCACCACCUCUUAUGCCCCCGGCUCAGCAGAAAGAUAAGGGCCUCUCCAGGGCUUUUGCUGCCUCCACCACCGUGGGUCAACAUCCAGGAAGGAAGACGUUUCUAAGGAAACCACGGAGGCUUUCCACCAAGGUGGUUGCAUGAAAGCGCUGAACUGGUGAGAGUGACAAAAAGCAGUUCAUUGGAUAAUGUAGAAAAAGGGCAUGGACAAAGCUUUACCUGAUUGUCUGGAGCCAGCAUAGAAAGGCAUAACUUUGGGCUUCUUAAGAUCUACAGAUGGAAACCUCCUGGCAGCGUGUGCAGAAACGAUCAGGUCCACAAGGACAACACGGGACAAAUCAAUCUUACAAGAUGGAUGGGGCCACUGGGUGACGCUUGGGUGAAAACCGCUUCCAGAUUUCACACCAGCUUCGCUUUUGUGCUCCGGCUGAAAACACAGCUUUAUUGCAUGAGCAUAAGUAAUACAGGAAGGCACUUACCACUCCAUUUUGUGCAGCUUUUGUUUGUGAUAGUCUUAAUUUACUGCUGAAGUGAAUCCGAGACUGAUAAUUUUUAUGAUUUUUUACCGAGAAAAGACAUUAAGCUACUUACUUUGGCUGCACUUCCUACUCUGCAGAAAUUAUUUAUCCAAGCACAGCGGCAAAGUGGGUCAGGGGAGGAAUAAUAAUAAUAAUAAUAAAAGAAACCGCCCACAAAAAUCUUGAAUCCCUUGCAGAAGUUGGAUUAAGGCUCAAGAUACUGGAUGCAAACCGCUGCCACGUUCUCCAUUUCAAAGGAAAGGUGUCAGCUCAGGCAGCGAUGUCAAAGGCUGCAAAGUUUGGGCUGCAAAAUCCCACUCCUACCGUUUGCCAUGCUGGCCACAAAGGAACAGAGAGCUGGAUUUGGCUCUGCAAGCUACUCUGCCUUUUCCUCAAGGGAUAUAUACCCCAAGAACUGAGUUGCUUCAUUGAUUCUGUGCAUGGGCAAGCAGCAGUGCCCAUGGGGAGGAGGGGAGAACAGGGAAGAGAAAGCUUUUUUCCCUGUAUUUUCUACCACCAACUGCUCAGUUUGGGUGAAAUAGGAGAGUCACAUCUUUUCCCAACUCUCUGAAGUGAGGGGAACUUUGCUGAGGCCCCAGCUUGAACCGGACCGUGCCCAGAUAUCAUCAGAUCCUGCACAAGAAAAAUAAAGAGCUCAAGUUGCAAAAGAAGAGUGAUGGAGGAGUGAAACUCGAGAGGAGCAUACAGUCCGCUGACAGCUCCCUGCAGCUCAAACCGACCCGUCAGGGCCACAGCAAAGCCUUGGAGCAGCAGCAUUGUGCUCCAGGAAAAUCAGCAUGGUGCAGCCAGGAGGGGAUCAUGCUCAUGCAGAACGAUCUCUGCAGUGGCACCAGAGGAAGAGAUCACACCAUUUGCAAAAGCAAUCUGCGCAGGUGUCCAUUGUCUAGUCUGGGAUUUCACAGGGAAUCUGGUGCCAGGAGCCAUUUGGAUGAUGCCAGACUGCUGAACACAUCCAGCUCAUCAGGUGUCCAAACUCAUCGCUCAAGUUGCCUUCAUUGGGUGUAAAGGACUCCCCACAUUUAAAGUUGGCCAGUUUUGUGGAUGGGAAAAUGCAGUCAAGUGAAUGCACCUCUGUGGGAAAGAGAUGUGAAAUCCUCUGGCAGCCUCACCAUUCCUUAGUGAAUUUUCACCCAUGCUAUGCUUUCCCCCAGCAAGAUCAACACACUGCUGCUUUGAAGGGAAAUGUCUGAUUCCCAAAUCUGGUUCUGGCUGGCAUGCUGAUCCUAUCAUCUUUCAUGUGUGUGCAGGGAGGGGGGACUUUACAACUUUAAUGAUUGCAGAAAGAAGUUCAUCUGCCAGUGCGACCUUUAGGAAGCACAUUUCCUUCUGCCUUGCAUGUGAUUCUGAAAAACAUUUGGUUGACAUCUUUCUUUGAAG
ensembl:lncRNA